GAUGAAGAACGCAGCGAAAUGCGAUAAGUAAUGUGAAUUGCAGAAUUCAGUGAAUCAUCGAAUCUUUGAACGCACAUUGCGCCCGCCAGUAUUCUGGCGGGCAUGCCUGUUCGAGCGUCAUUACAACCCUCAGGCCCCCGGGCCUGGCGUUGGGGAGGCCGUGCGGCCUCCUCGAAACCCCUUGGCGACGCAGGCCGUCCGCGAACGCAGCGAAAACCGCGUCCGGGCGGGCCCCGCGGCCGCCAGUCCACUUGGAAGGUUUGGCCUCGGAUCGGGUGGGGACACCCGCUGAACUUAAGCAUAUCAAUAAGCGGAGGA
rnacentral:misc_RNA from 1 species